rnacentral:rRNA from 1 species
CAUGAAGUCGGAAUUGCUAGUAAUCGCGGAUCAGCAUGCCGCGGUGAAUACGUUCCCGGGCCUUGUACACACCGCCCGUCAAACCAUGAGAGUUGGCAACACCCGAAGUCGGUAGUCUAACCGCAAGGAGGACGCCGCCGAAGGUGGGGUCGAUGAUUAGGGUUAAGUCGUAACAAGGUACC